AACGAACGCUGGCGGCAUGCCUAACACAUGCAAGUCGAACGAGACCUUCGGGUCUAGUGGCGCACGGGUGCGUAACGCGGGGGAACCUGCCCGUAGGUUCGGAAUAACUCCCCGAAGGGGGUGCUAAUACCGGAUAAUGUCUUCGGACCAAAGAUUUAUCGCCUUUGGAUGGGCCCUCGUUGGAUUAGCUAGUUGGUAGGGUAAAAGCCUACCAAGGCGACGAUCCAUAGCUGGUCUGAGAGGAUGAUCCGCCACGCUGGGACUGCGACACGGCCCAGACGCCUACGGGAGGGAGCAGUGGGGAAUAUUGGACAAUGGGCGAAAGCCUGAUCCAGCAAUGCCGCGUGAGUGAUGAAGGCCUUAGGGUUGUAAAGCUCUUUUACCCGGGAUGAUAAUGACAGUACCGGGAGAAUAAGCACCGGCUAACUCCGUG
rnacentral:rRNA from 1 species